AGGGUUUGAUCCUGGCUCAGAACGAACGCUGGCGGCGUGGAUAAGACAUGCAAGUCGAACGGAGAAUUUGAAUAGCUUGCUAAUUAAAUUCUUAGUGGCGGACGGGUUAGUAACACGUGAGCAACCUGCCCUAAAGUGGGGGAUAGCCUUUCGAAAGGAAGAUUAAUACCGCAUGUGGCCUACGGGUCAAAGCUGCCUUCGGGUGGUGCUUUAGGAUGGGCUCGCGGCCUAUCAGCUAGUAGGUGAGGUAACGGCUCACCUAGGCGAUGACGGGUAGCUGGUCUGAGAGGACGAUCAGCAACACUGGAACUGAGACACGGUCCAGACACCUACGGGUGGCAGCAGUCGAGAAUCAUUCACAAUGGGGGCAACCCUGAUGGUGCAACGCCGCGUGGAGGAAGAAGGCCCUAGGGUCGUAAACUCCUGUCAUUUGAGAGUAAGGCUUAUGCGUUAAAAGCGUGUAAGUUUGAUAGUAUCAAAAGAGGAAGGGACGGCUAACUUCGUGCCAGCAGCCGCGGUAAUACGAAGGUCCCAAGCGUUGUUCGGAAUCACUGGGCGUAAAGCGUACGUAGGCGGUUAGGUAAGUCAGAUGUGAAAGGCAGGGGCUCAACCCCUGGACUGCAUCCGAUACUGCCUGACUAGAGUCAUGGAGAGGUAAGUGGAAUUCUUGGUGUAGCAGUGAAAUGCGUAGAUAUCAAGAGGAAGACCAAUGGCGAAAGCAACUUA
rnacentral:rRNA from 1 species